rfam:Beta vulgaris subsp. vulgaris 0533.scaffold01098.con0002.1, whole genome shotgun sequence.
GGGUACAAUCAUACCAGCACUAAUGCACUCGAUCCUAUUAAAAUUUCGCAGUUAAGCAUGCUUGGGCGAGAGUAGUAGUAGAAUGGAUGUCGUCGUAUUGGACCCC